rnacentral:rRNA from 1 species
AACGCUAGCGACAGGCUUAACACAUGCAAGGUCGAGGGGUAACGAGGGCGAGCAAUACCGCUGACGACCGGCGCACGGGUGAGUAACGCGUAUGCAACCUGCCUAUAACUGGGGAAUAGCUCCCUGAAAGGGGAAUUAACACCGCAUAACACUAUUGAUUCGCAUGGAUUGGUAGUUAAAUGUAGCGAUACAGGUUAUAGAUGGGCAUGCGUGACAUUAGCUAGUUGGUGAGGUAACGGCUCACCAAGGCUACGAUGUCUAGGGGUUCUGAGAGGAAGGUCCCCCACACUGGUACUGAGACACGGACCAGACUCCUACGGGAGGCAGCAGUGAGGAAUAUUGGUCAAUGGGCGCAAGCCUGAACCAGCCAUGUCGCGUGCAGGAAGACUGCCCUAUGGGUUGUAAACUGCUUUUAUAGUAGAAGAAACACAUCUACGUGUAGAUGUCUGCCAGUAUACUAUGAAUAAGCAUCGGCUAACUCCGUG